AAUAAACCCACGAGCUGACAGGUCCAAACAGGCCUCAGAGAGGAUUUGAGAGCCAGGGCCCAGGCCACAGUGUGGAUCACAGCUCCAUGCCUGGGCCGGGCCUCCUUUAUUAUUCCGGAGGCGUCAGGCAUGGGGAUGGAGGACUCUGGUCUGUGCUGGAGACUUGAGAAAGACUUCAAGCAGAAGGGACUCUGAGCUGAAGACAAGAGGGAGGAAGAGAAACAGGCUCUGCAGAGCGAAUUUAGGCCAAGAAAAAGUAGGAAAGAAGGUGUCCUCUACAGCGUGAGGGGGAUUACUGUGAGAGGGACAGCACCAAAGAGCCCUCAAGGUCCACGGCCCUUUUCCAUCUGCCGCCUCAGCUGAGUCAGGUCCAGCUGCCCUAUGGAAAACCUGCUUGAGUUCUCGCGAGAAGUCCGCUCUCAGGGAUGUGAGAACUGCGCUUCGGAAGUGUCCUGGGUCACGCCUACUUCUCUGGCCGUCUCGGGUGCCCCAGACUUCUGCCUCAGAUGGGGAGGGGGACGCAUGUAUAGAGAUGGUAACAAUCCAGGUGGAGAUUCGACUGAAUAUCUGUACAAAAGAGACUGGAUUCAUCUAAACUAAUUUACAACAGAAGAG
rnacentral:lncRNA from 1 species